GAAUCUUCCACAAUGGGCGAAAGCCUGAUGGAGCAACGCCGCGUGCAGGAUGAAGGCCUUCGGGUUGUAAACUGCUUUUAUAAGUGAAGAAUAUGACGGUAACUUAUGAAUAAGCACCGGCUAACUACGUGCCAGCAGCCGCGGUCAUACGUAGGGUGCAAGCAUUAUCCGGAGUGACUGGGCGUAAAGAGUUGCGUAGGUGGUUUGUUAAGUAGAUAGUGAAAGCUGACGGCUCAACCGUACAGACUAUUAUCUAAACUGGCAAACUCGAGAAUGGUAGAGGUAACUGGAAUUUCUUGUGUAGGAGUGAAAUCCGUAGAUAUAAGAAGGAACACCAAUGGCGUAGGCAGGUUACUGGACCAUUUCUGACACUGAGGCACGAAAGCGUGGGGAGCGAACGG
rnacentral:rRNA from 1 species